GUGAAUCAUCAAAUUUUUGAACGCAAAUUGCACUCUCUUCGGAGAGUAUGCCCGUUUGAGGGUCAGCCUCUAAAAAUCGAUAUCGUUGCUGUUUCGCGGUGGCGUUUGUUGGAAAUUGGGUCAUCUUAAUUCCUCUUGAUCUAAGCGACUUAAAAUUUUCUUUUGGUUCCAUGAACGUUUCUAAGAUCUAUUUCUUUCCACGUUUAAGGUAUCGAUUUUUACUAGACGUGACCAUUAUAUCGGAUCGAGUCCUCAAUCUUUCAUUA
rnacentral:misc_RNA from 1 species